UCAAGCAAAGCAACUACGUGUUAAAGCAACGCACUGGUACAGGGGAAAAAAACUAAGUCAUUUUCUAGCUGGUAUGCAAACUUCCAUUGCAAAACACUACGUUGGAAAACCAGAAGGGAUUGUCAUCGAAAUGUAUUUCCACAUAGUUGUGUGUACACAAAAUACUAUAUUUGAAAAUAAAACUGACAAUAUUAUGGAUCAUAUUAAUGUUGUAAGCGGUUCCUCAUUGAUAUGCAUAUUAAUGAGGCAACAACUUGCAAAACCCCAGUCACAGUCAUGCAUGACAUUGAACAGCGUCAACCAUUUAACAUAUGAGUUCAUCGCUGCUUGUUUUUGUUGUCAGCCCUUGUCGUUGCCUGACCUUUGAGCGAACCUUGCUCCAUCUAUAUUAGUAAAAAGAUCAACCACCACAGGCUAUAAACCCAGCACUUGAAAAGUACAGAAGUGGUCUACGGGCAUUGACAGAUUUAAGAUCUUAAAUCGUCACUCAACCCACAUGAGUCGGUCUAAUGCAGAGCAGGCUGCUUUACCGUUGCUGUUGUUACAAAAGAGAGCCUGGAAAGUAGAGAUGAAGCUGGGUGAAGUGGGACGGCUGAUGAUCACAGAUGAUACACAGCUGCCUUCUUCUUCGACUGCACACCUCCGCGCCUCCAGACAGGGAUGGAGGCAAGAAGCCAGCUCCAAGGUGGCCAUGGAGAGGAGCGGACGGACAAAGGAUGGGCAGAAGAAAGAGAGAGAUGGUAGAAGCUGCCACUGGGAAAGAAUGGCAAUAGAAAAGCUUUGACUGCAUGUACCAUUAUAAAAGCCACAUUUACUUUGCUUUAAAAUAAACCUUUCAUUUCUAACAGCUCAACAUUCCAUUGAACAACCGUCGUAGCUUUCGUGUCCAAAAACCCAUUUCAAAAGAGCUUUUCCCAAAGUGUGGAAGAUGAAGACGUGCCCAGAGCUUUUCUAGAGGGCUUUAAUAUAAGUUUGCUGCUAUCCAUUUUUUUUUUUAAAAACACACUAAAUGGAAGCCCACGCAGGCCACUUUUCCUCCUUUCUUUAUCCAUACAUUGCCGUGAGUCAUUUCUCAACGAUCCAUUAACUGCACCAGCACGAGGCCUGGAGGAUGAGAGAAAAAGGUUGUUGCUCUCUUAAAAGGAUUUUCACAUAGAUGGAAAGACAUUAAGGGACAUAACAAUAAAUGGGUCAUAGGAUAAACAAAAAGAAAAAAAUGCGAGUAUUAAAAAAAAGUAGAAAUACGUAGUACACGAUAGUGUGUGAACUAAGACCUACUUUUGUCAUGGCUUCCAUUUCUUCUUCAAGGGCCAUUUUUUCUCAACAGUCAUCCAUUUACUUUUAUACAUUUAGGAUGUUUGUGAAAUGCCAUGUGACGGCAUGCUUGAUAACAAGAAGCUGUUUACCCACGCACGUCAGUUUUUGCAUGUCGGCUAAUUCAUCACCCGUCAUACAGGUUUCCAGAUAAGAGCAGCCUCCCCUGCAUUGAGCUAUUAUAAUGCUAAUGUGGCUAGACUGUGAUUCGAGGACUAUAAAAAUGUCAGAUGUAGUGAUAUUCAAGCUUGAGUUUGAAAGCUGUCGAUGGUGGAUAAAUGAGUUUGUGCCAAGCCAUGUCUCAUUUAUAUGCUAACAAUCAGAAGACUUUCCCCUAUAGGGCAGUGUGCACCUGUCUCUGUGCAAGAAGCUAAACUAAAGAAACUAAAGAUGGGCUGUGCAAGUCAUUUGGUGCAAAAUACUCAUCAGUAACAUUUACCUACCAUAACUUAAUUGGCAAUUUUUAGUGCGACUAACACAGCGGUGUCCAAGUUGUUUUCAUUGCAGGCCACGUUGUUUGCUUUGCCCUCAGGCAGCCAACGAAAUCUCACGCAGUAAAUGAAUUUUGGCUAAGGGUGUAACUGGACCCCAGAAAUCACAGUUUGUUACGUAUGUUUGUUUUUAGUUCACGGUUUGGUUCACAUGUGGUACAAUGAGGCAGCAAAAUGCUCAAUAAAGAGUUUGUGUAGACAGUCACACAUUUAAUAUCAUUUAAUUUGAUUUUGCUCGGAAGAGGUGGGUUUCGGCACAAUAGGAUUGCGUAGCCGCAUUUGAUACACAUUCUUCUCGUUAACUCAUUUGAUUGUCCCCCCCCAAAAAAAUAUGAUGGAAACACGUUUGCUGUCCUCAUAUUUCUCUCACAGCUUUGGCUAGGAAGAAAUCACACCUAUCCGAGAAGCUUGUUAACGAGAAAGAUUACACGCUUUGGAUGAGUGAGCGGGAGAACAAGGCUACGGGGGCCAGUUAGCAACUCGCUGAUGCGGGACCACAUGGGGAGAGAGCAGAACAUGUUGGAGAUGAAUAUUUCCCCAUGACACAGCAUAACCGGCUGCCUCCCAAGCAUCUGCAAUGAAGACAUAAGGAAUUGAUCGAUCUAUAAUCAACGAGAACCGCAAGUAAGAGAGCAAGAGUAAUGGAGAGAUUAGAAAAAAGCAAACGCUUGCUGCAGCUGAAGAGCUGUGAGGCAGAGUGAUCCAUGGUGUUUUCACAGGCUAUUUCCCUGAGGCAUUGUAUUUGCACAGCCAGAGAUGCUGCAAUGACAGAGAAGACCAUUUGUAUGUAUACCUGACCACAUUUGUGACAUAAGCUGUAAACAUUCUAGAAAUAAGCGACAGUGUGAGGCAAUAAACUCUAA